CGCACAUUGCGCCCGCCAGUAUUCUGGCGGGCAUGCCUGUUCGAGCGUCAUUUCAACCCCUCAGGCCCUGGUGCCUGGCGUCGGGGCGUUCCCUCGCGGGAAGCCCCCAGAGACAGUGGCGGACCAGUCGCGGCUCCGAGCGCAGUAGUAACAUUCUCGCUUAGGAGGUCUGCGGCGGGCUCCCGGCCGUAAAACCUCAGCUCCGGCUGAACUUCUCAAGGUUGACCUCGGAUCAGGUAGGAAUACCCGCUGAACUUAA
rnacentral:misc_RNA from 1 species